GAAAGCCGUGUGAGGGAAAACCUCAUGCACGGUUUGAGGUGGCAGGGGGUGGAAACCAGGGCGGGGAGAGACCUCCUGUCCCAGGCGCCACUCCCUGACCCUAC
rnacentral:ncRNA from 1 species